rnacentral:lncRNA from 1 species
CAUUCCAUACAUUCGCAAUGCCUCUCUGUCUCUUCCUCCUCUGAGGAUAUCAAACAGUGCCCCUGUGACGCCGCCUCUGUCAUCACCUACGUCAAGAAAUCCAAAACCAAUUCCCACAUGGGAGUCCAUUGCCAAAGAAUCUAUGACCUCCUUCAACUACCCUCUCUUUGCAGCUUCUGCUCCUGCUAGCCCCACGCACCGUCACCUUUACACCCCGGCCACUAUUCCAGAGUGUGACGAGUCUGAUACUUCCACCUGUGAAUCCAGCCAGUGGGUGAAAUUUCAAGCAUUUGCUCCUUCUGCAUCUGUGUUGCCAACUUCUCCAACCUUCAAUCUUGUUAAACCUGUGGUUCCUCCCGGUGUGCCUGAUAACUCAAUCCAAGAGAUGAGGACGAGUUCAGAAGAGAUUGGAGUACAGGUAAUGCCUUGGGUUGGUGAAAGAAUUCAUGAAGUGGCAUUAGAUGAUUUGGAACUCACUCUUGGAAGCGGGAAGGUGCGGAGUUAGGCUGCUAGCAGAAUUAUCUCAUCUGGGUUACGUGAAAAUGAGAUCACAGGAGUUUUUUGCUGGUUGGUUGUUGCUCAAGCUGGUGUUACAGAUGGAGUUAAUAGCUACCUCAUCCAGUGUCGUUGGUGCAAGAAGUUUAUCGGGAAGAGACUGGAGUUAUUAUUGGGAACUGGAUUUAUCUGAUGCUGUGGACAUUUUAUGGAGAAAAUGAUCUCCUUCCCUCCAUGGCUUCGGUAAAAUGUAGAAAUGAGAAUUUCACCUCCUUCCUUCGUGGUUAAAUCAGCUAUUGUUCAAAAAGGCUCAUCAGGCCUAUGUGCUAAGUGUUAGGUGCUGUGGGUGAUUUGAAAUUGAAAUUUCAGGUUUUGUCAAGUUUAUUGUCUGUCAAAAGCUCACAAGACCUGCUUAUUUGUAAUGUUACAUUUAAAUUUUGUUGUUCUUCUUUAUGUUCUUGUUCUUUGUAUCAAAUAGUUUGUUUGUAUGUUAUCUUUAUUUUUGCCGACAGGUUUUGUAGUUAGUGCAAAGUCAACGGUUGGCUCUAUCGUCCUUCUACCUCAUUGACCCCUUUGAUAAGUUCAUGAGCUCAAAGCGGCAUGAACUAUGGUAUUCAAUAUGGGAUUGUCACUCUACUGAUGAAGUCAUGUGGAACUUUGGGGUGUUGUUCCCUGGUUAGUGGAUUGUAUAAUGUGAUGAGUUGUGCAGGGGAUGUCUUUGGAAAGAAAGGCAAAGUUCCAUUAAGGUGCCUUAGGGUUUGCUGUAUUACUCUCCUUCUGAUUUUGCAAUUCAGAAUGUUCCUAAUGUAGUCUUGGGUUAUUUAUUUGUUACUUUUAAGUUUUAUUUUAUUAUCAUAUAAUUUACGGUGAUUCGGGACGUGUUGGUAGUUUGGAUCUUUUUUGGUUGGGUCUUUCUUCCUUUGCAGCCUCGUUCCUAGCCCUUGAGGGUGUAUAAUAGCCAAAUAUUGGAAUUGGCCUUACUUUCAUGCAACAAAGCACAUUUGAUGAGGAUACAACGGAAAAUUUUCAAGUUAUAUAUGUUGAGAUCAUUGAUCUUGAAUUGGAACUUGUGAAUCCUUUUUGGCUAGUAUCAUAUGCAGAGCAGAAGCUAUUGGAUGUCUGCAACGAAGAACAGAAGAUGUAGAUCCUCGUGGUUAUAAACUAUGGCAACUGUCGAAAUCUCUUUAAACACUCAUGGGUGAUGACGCAGCUUGUGCCAGUUCAUCGAUUGUCUUGUUAAAUUUACCAUAAUGUUAAUUGGUAUGUGUUUACUUUCCUGUGUUUGCAUUGAUUCAUCUUUUCUCGCAAGAAAUUGUUUUUUCUUUGUUUAUCAGUGGUUUAAACUUAUAAUAUUGAUUGCAAGGGUAGUGUGCAAUGACUCUCCCUCAUAUUUUUUAAUACUGAAGAUCCUUUGUCUCCGAGAUGCAUUGGUUUAAACUAUUAACUUCUAAUCCAAUGGUGUGCAUCUUACUUAUAAUAUUUUUUUGUUUUCAUUUAUGGAAGACUGAUCUCGUACAGAUUGGCAAUCUCAUUCCAGGAAAUGGUUACAUAUAAAACUUUAUACUCAAUUUCAAUUAUUUUUAUGUCUUGAUAGGCAAUCUCAUUCCAUGUGCGAAACUUCUCAUGUAUAUUUGCUAGAAAAAUUGUGGAUGGAUGGAUUGCCUGGCAAAUGAACAACUUAACUUUCAAGAUUCUGGGUUUGUUAGGUGAGACUCAAGAGAAAAAAAAAAACUUAUUUUAUAAAUUAAAUUAUUUUUUUGCUUACUUCAUUUGAAUGAUUUUUCAUUAAUUUUAAUCAAAUUGGAUUUUUAAUUAAAAUAUAUGCUAAUUUUAACUUCGAAGAGAAAUUAAAUUAUUUAUUUUUUUACUUUUAAAAAGUAUUUUUAAGAAAUUUCUUCGAAAUAAAUCCUUUGUCAGAAAGAUGCAUCAAUGAUUCUUCAGAAAAGAGAUUCCGUGCUUGGUGAUCUAUUGUCAUUUAUGAAUUUUCCAGUGUCCAUUUUUCUGCCCUACUUUAUUCAUUUUCUUCUCUGUGCAUGAGUAACUUUGAUUUCUUAGCAAGGGAAGAAACAAAAAUAUGCUGAAGCUUUGAUUCGACUGUCAGAUGGUGGCAUUUAAACAUUGGCAGUGACGUCUGUAAUUUAUAAGAUAAUGAUAUUUAGAUAAUAUUUUUUUUUAAUCAAUCAUAAAUAAUGUUUAAAUAUUAUAAAUAAAAUAUUGUUUAAGUAUCACAUUUCUGGAAUAUGUAAUUUUUCUUUCCCAUUCCUGCUCCCUGGUGAACUGGAUGAGAUUUUGUUCAAACUCAGUUUCAAUAUAAGUAUUCUUGCUCCAUUACAUUUCUACUUAUUAUUAUUAUUAUUAUUAUUAUUUUAUUUUAUUUUUUGUCAAAUAUCUGUUUGCAAGAAUUAAACCAGAGUUUUGUCGUAGGAAACAAAUUACAUAGAAGGAAUUUCUAACAAUGCAUUAAAUUAUUGUAUCUUGUGGCAAACUUCUUACAUCUUUUGUGUGUAUUACUUUAUAACUGAUAUUUUACGAUUUGAUUUUUUUUUUGUUGCUGAAAUCUUUUAUGAUUAGAUUUCUUUUUUUGUCCAAAUCUUUUAUGAUUGAAUGAUAUGAGGAAUUAUCAUGUUUUGGAGGUUCCUUACCCAUUUGUCUGUCAGUUGUUGGUUCCAGCUUAACUUAAAAAAUAAUUUUGUAUUCCCGUAUUAAUUAAUAUUUUUAUUGAAAAAGGAAAAUCCACCGAAAGCGAUUUCCGUACUGUAGCAUCUUUCAGACAAAUUUUGUAAAAAUGGUUUGCUUCUUAAACUUACUCAGAUCGAUACAUUCAUAACAUAAUUUAAAUAUUAUAUAAAUUACUUAUUACAAUAAAAUAGUUAAUAAUUACUUAAAGAUAAUGCAUAAUAGCUUAGUUUUGUUAUCAUGUUUUUAAUAUAUUGUUCCUUUAUAACAAUUUUAUAAUGUUCAAUAUCAUCAUUAAGUAAGAAGUAAGACUAACAUAUAUAUAUAUAUAUAUAUAUAUAUAUAUAUAUAUUGUCUAUUCUUUAUUGGUGUUGAUUUCAUUAGUGUCCAUUAUUUUGUCGACAUAAAUAUCUGUAGAUAUGAAUAUAGAAAUAAACUUUAUCACUAAUAUAAGAAUAUAAAAUGUCAUUCAUUGAUGAAUAUAAUCAAGUUUUCCUAAGAAUUAAAUUCUUUUAGGAAUUGUCAGAAUUCCUGUAAGUGAAGAAUCACGAAAUUCUUCACUUAUAAUGGAUUUUUUUAUAACCCUUUUGAGUAAUAAUUAUUUUUACCUUCAUUUCUCUUUAAAUCUAUUUUCAUUUUUUGAGUUUCAUCCUCCCAUUCAAACACUGUUAAAAACAGAGAAGGAUAGUAUAUGAUUGCAAAACGAUGCUUUUAUUCAUUGAAAUAUUCAAUUACAUAUAUAGCAGUAUAAUCUUAACUGUUGCAACUUAAAUCAAGGAGAAAAAUCAACAACUGAUAUGUCAACCGCAACGUGGCCUACUAUAGCAAAUCCCAUAAAAAUAGGAUAUGAUUUAUUUAAAACAGAAAAUUACUAAAUAAAUUCCAACAUUUCCCUCUCUUAAACUGAAGUUCCAGUAGACAUCAGUUUACAGCAAAAGAAGCUUUGACAAUCAUUUUCCAUCAUCACAACCAGCUUUCUCUCUUGAUCAAACUCCCAACAUGCUUCGAAGCUUUUCAAAGACAUUUGUCUUGAGAGGUUUUGUCAUUAUAUCUGCUAUCUGUUCCUCACUCCUGCAAUAGAUAACAUCAAUAACAGCAUCCUUGCACAGAACACGUAAGAAGUGAAAUCUGACAUCUAUAUGUUUGCUCCUUUCAUGUAAAACAGAAUUCUUUGACAAUUUAAUUGCAGAGACAUUGUCACAGAACACUGAUGUAGGCCCUUCUUGAUCAUAUCCAAGUUCUUUAAGUACCCUUCUCAACCAGAUGGCUUGGCAAGCACAUGAUGUAGUUGCAAUAAACUCUGCUUAUGUGGAGGAUAAAGUAACAAUUGGCUGUUUCUUUGAUGACCAUGAGACAGCACCAGAACCCAUCAUGAAGACAUAUCCAGAUGUGCUUUUUCUGUCAUCUUCAUCCCCUGCAUAGUCACUAUCGCUGAAGCCAAACAAACCCUUUUGUGCUCCCCUUUUAUAUAACACCCAAAAAUCAAUAGUUCCUUUCAAGUACCUGAGAAUUCUUUUAGCUGCUAGGAGGUGUAGCUCUGUCGGAUUCUCCAUAUAUCGACUAAUAAGACUGACUGCAUACAUUAUAUCUGGCCUAGUCAAAGUUAGAUACAUUAAACUUCCUACAAUUUGCUUAUAGACUGUUGCAUCUACCUUUUUUCCAUUUAAAUCUCUAUUCAGCUUUAAAUCUGCAGAAGUAGGAGUGCAGACUGCAUUGCACUCUCCCAUUUGAAACCUGCUCAAAAUCUCCAAAACAUAUUUCUUUUGUGACACAAAAAUUCCAAUAACAGAUUGUACUACCUCAAUGCCAAGAAAAUAGUGAAUUAAACCCAAAUCUGUCAUCUCAAAUUCAGUCAUCAUAGAAGUUUUAAAUGCAUCAAUCAUGACUCUAUCAUUACCUGUGAAUAUCAAGUCAUCAACAUAUAAGCAUACUAUAAGCAUUUUCUCACCAUUUCCAUGCUUUAUGAAGAGUGUGUGCUCAUACGGGCAUUUAUGAAAGCCUGCUCCAAUGAAAUAAGACUCUAUACGACUAUACCAAGCUCGGGGUGCUUGUUUUAGUCCAUAUAAUGCCUUCUUCAAUUUAUAUACCUUCUCCUCAUUUCCUUGCUUCACAUAUCCUAAAGGUUGUUCAACGUAGACAUCUUCUUGUAACUCACCAUGUAAAAAUGCUGACUUGACAUCAAAUUGAUAAAUGGACCAUAAAUUUUGAGCUGCAAUUGAAAUAACUAGUCUGAUUGUGUCAAGUCUCGCAACCGGAGCAAACACCUCUUUAUAAUCAAUCCCAUAUUGUUGCUUGUAGCCUUUAACUACCAACCGCGCCUUAUAUUUGUCCACCUUACCAUCUGCAUUGAGCUUUGUUUUAUAUACCCAUUUAACUCCAAUAGAUUUUUGGCCUUUGGGAAGAUCUGUUAAUUCCCAGGUGUUAUUUUUCUCUAUUGCUUUAAUUUCCUCAUCCAUAGCCUUUUGCCAUUUUAACUCUUUGAUGGCAUCAUGAAAAACAAUAGGAUCAUGGUCUGAAAAUAAUGCAAAAUGAGUAAGUGGGUCAUCAAUUUGAUUUACUCCACUAAUCUCGUAAUCUUGCAUCCAGGCUGGCCUUCUUCUUAUGCGUUGAAGUCUAGGUUCAUUUGACACAUCAUCUCCCAUUUCUACUUGUGAAGUAGGUGAGGAAGUAGACGGUGAACUAGUGAUAGUAGAGCUUGAAGACUGACUCUGUCUUUCUUCUUCAAUUUCGUCAUCAUUGACUGGGAUGUGCUCUCCGAUGCUAUUAACAGUCCACUUCCAUGCCUUGCUCUCAUCAAAUAUUACAUCUCGACUAAUGAUUAUUCUUUUCGUGACUGGAUUGUACAAUUUGUAAGCUUUUGAAUGCUCACUAACACCAAGAAAUAUACACUUCUCUGCUUUAUCAUCAAGCUUCUUCCUCUUUUCAUCAGGAACAUGGGCAAAAGCUAUACAACCAAAAACUUUGAAAUAACUCACAGUUGGUUUAUUUCCUUUCCAAGCUUCUUCGGGUGUCAUGUUUUUCACAGCCAAUGUUGGACUUCUAUUCAAUAUGUGGAUGCUCCAAUUAACAGCUUCUGGCCAAAAACAUUUUGGAAUAGCUUUUCCAGACAGCAUACUCCUCACCAUAUUCAACACCGUACGAUUCUUUCUUUCACAUACCCCAUUCUGUUGUGGUGUAUAAGCUGUAGUCAAAUGUCUUCGGAUGCCAUUCAACUCACAAAAGUUGGAAAAAUCUUGUGAGUUGAACUCUCCUCCACGAUCUGUUCGCAACACCUUAAUUGUUCCACUUGCUUCAUUUUCAACCAAAGCUUUGAAGCUUUUAAAGGCUGCAAGAGCCUCUGAUUUUUCUUGCAAGAAAUAUACCCAUGUCUUCCUACUAUAAUCAUCAAUGAAGCUAAUAAAGUACCUUUUGUUNCCAUUNGAAGUUGGACUUAUAGGUCCACAAAUGUCUGAGUGAAUCAACUCUAGUGGCUGUUGAGCUCUCCAUGCUUUUCCUUUUGGGAAGGAAUCACGUUGUUGUUUGCCAAUAACACAAUCUUCACAAACUUGUGAGGGAGGAUUAAUUUGAGGUAGUCCUAUCACCAUUCCUUUUUGUUGUAAAGUCUUUAGCCCAUUAAAGUUGAGAUGCCCAUAUCGGAGGUGCCAUAACCAAGCAGUGUCUUUCACCUUUGCAGAGAAGCAAGUCUGAAAAUCUUCAACGUCAUCUAAAAUGAUAAUUGGAAACAUCCGAUUUUCUGUCAUGUGAAUACGUGCAAUUACUCCUCUCUCAGAAUCUUUAAUAAUGCAGGUUCCACUUUUGAUGAUUAUCUCAUACCCUUUCUCUUGCAAUUGGCCGAGGCUAAUCAAGUUACUCUUCAAAUCUGGAACAUAGAACACACUAGAGAUUCUUUCAACAAUAUCACUUUUCAAACGAACAUUGACACUUCCUUUCCCUAUGACAACAACAGUGGAGUUGUCUCCAAAUUUCACAGUAUCUCUAAAUGUCUCAUCCAACUCAGAAAAUAAAGAUUUAUUGCCACACAUAUGAUUACUGCAACCUGAAUCUAAGUACCACAUAUUUUCAUACUUUUCUGUUUUGUUAUGACAUGCCAUCAAUAAAGUUGUUUCUUCUUCUUCUAUCAUAGCAUAAUUUAAUUUUUCACCCCGUUCUCUAGAGAAAUUAGGACAUUCUGACCUGUAAUGGCCAUAUUGAUGGCAAUUGAAGCAUUCAAUCUGGGAUUUAUCAAACCUUGAUCCUUGACCACACCCUCUGCCUCUGGAAUAAGAAUUAAAUUUGCCUCUGCCUCUGCCUCUUCCUUGCCCAUGUCCUACACUUUCAGAAGAAACUGGAGUAUUGGUGGAGACCUUCAAAGCUUUCUCCUCAAUUAUAGCCCCUUGAUUAAUUCGCUGCUCAUGAACCAACAACGAGCUUUGCAACUCAUCAAUGGAAAGGUUAUCAAUGUCACGUGCUUCCUCGAUUGAACAAACUACAUAAUCAAAUUUUGUAGUCAUUGAUCGAAGAAUUUUUUCAAUAACAGUAACAUCUUCUAGUUUUUCACCAUGGAUUUGCAUAUUGUUUGCAAUUGUCAUCGUCCUUGAGAAAUAAUCAGUGACAGACUCUCCCAUACUCAUAUGUAGAGUUUCAAAAUCUCUUCGAAGGGCUUGAAGCUGUGCACACUUCACUUUUGAUGUCCCUUGAUACUUAAGUUUCAUUGAGUCCCAGAUUUGCUUGCUGGUUUCCUUUUGAAGAAUGGUCUCCAAGAUUGUACGAUCAAUAGCCUGGAACAAAUAAUUUUUCACCUUCAGAUCCUUCAAUUUUUGGUCCUCCUGUUGCUUCUCCUGAAUUGCUGUCAACACUGUCCCUGCUGGAUAAGUGGUUAUACCAUCUUCAAUUAAUGGCCAAUACUCCUUUGAUCGCAAAAAAUUCUCCAUCAACAUUGCCCAAUGAUCAUAGUGACCAUCAAAGCGAGGAAUUGUUGGUUGCACAAAGUUACUAUUUUCAGAUGCCAUUAUUACUUGCUACUGCAAGAAAGCUGCUGCUGCUUCAAUCUCUAUCAGACCCAGUGUAGGCUCUGAUACCAAAAUGUUAAAAACAGAGAAGGAUAGUAUAUGACUGCAAAACGAUGCUUUUAUUCAUUGAAAUAUUCAAUUACAUAUAUAGCAGUAUAAUCUUAACUGCUGCAACUCAAAUCAAGGAGAAAAAUCAGCAAUUGAUAUGCCAACCGCAACGUGGCCUACUAUAGCAAAUCCCAUAAAAAUAGGAUAUGAUUUAUUUAAAACAGAAAAUUACUAAAUAAAUUUCAACAAACACAAACUUAAUCUUCAACCUAAGAAAGAGUAUGAUCUCUAUAAAUUAGAGCACAAUGAAGUAUUUUUAAUAUUUUUAUAUUUAUUUUAUCCUCUGUCAUCACCAAGUAAUUAGUUUAAAAUUUGAAUUUUUCCAGAUUUUUGAGUAGCAAAACAAAGUUUUAGAUACAUUUAUUUUAUAACACUUGAAAUUUGAAUUAUCUAUUUUUUAAACUCUUGAAAGCAAUGGUAUAAAGUGAGAAAAUACCCCGAAUAUAGUACCAUUACGAGAAAUUCAUUUGUUCUUAUUAUCAUGUUUCAAAUUGUAAAAAUAUAUAAUUUAUUAUUUGUAUGGGUGAUAUGGAGUUAAUGACAUAGAAUCACCUAUCGUUCAUAAAUGACAGUACUAUCAUGAUUAUACAGUGAAUAAAAGAGUUCAAUAUCAAACAUCUCAAAUAAAUUAUAUCAUCAAGCUUAAGUAUUGUAUUGAUUUAUAUUUUAAUUACACAAAAAGUUAGUCAAAGUUUUAUUAUCUUUGUCAAAAAUAUCAAUUCAAAUAUAUAAUCCACUUACAAAAAUGGCUUUAUAUUUAUACGUCAAAAUAACAUAUCUUUUUUAGCUUCAAUCUUUGACCCACUAAAGAGAAUAAUGGAAAAAGAAAAAGUUCCAAACACUUCCAAAAAGAAAGACCUUUUCGCCGUUUUUAGUCCAAAACGAUGACUACACUUUAAAGGGUCAUCAAAAUUUACAACAUCAUAUCUAUUUUCAAUCAAAUAAUAUACUCACUUUCACUCUUUUACUUUUAAUUUAUGAUGCAUAUAUAAAUUCUUAAAAUCUUACAUAGGCUAAGUAUAAUAUAGAUUUACGGUGUAUAUGUGAAUAUAGUAUUUUAUAAGUAGAUUUUAUAAUUAAAGUUAAGUUUAAAGUUUAUUAAUUAAUAGAAUUAUAAUUUUCUAUAAUUUAAACUAGUAAUGAAGUAAUUAACAUCAUAUGAGAUAUUGAUAAAAUAACCAGUAAAUAUUGUACAAAAUGUGACGUUAAGUAAUAGUUAUGAUGUGAGUUAUUUAUUAAACAAGGUAUAUAUAUAUAAGAUGUUUCUUGUAAGAAUUCUUUUUUUUUUUUCCUCUCUUUUUUUCUUCUUCCACUUUCCCUCCUUCUUCUUCUUUCCACGUCACUCUCUCCUUUUCCUUCUUUCUUUCUUUGCAAAACUCUAGUGUGAGAGAAAAAAAGUAGCAAGAGGAAGUCCAUUCCUCCCCAUGGAAAGAUAGUUUUCCUUCGUGGAUGUAGCGGUAGCGACGUUCUCUUCGUGAUAGUGGAGUUGUAGUUUCUUUAUGGCGAGUUUUCAGUGAUCCUGACACAACAUUCUUUGUGGUCAUUUUAGUGUUCGAAUUUGGGAUUCCUUUCCUCUUUCUGAUUUGUGGUGAUUUAGGGUUUAGGGUUUCGAAGAGUGUUUCCUUCCCGCAUAUCGCGAUCUUGAGUGUUGUCGUGAAGGAGAAAAGUUUUAGGUAAGGAAAGCUAGACCAUGCUUAGUUGUGUUGGUAUUAUAAAUUUAGUAUUUUUGAGUUAUAAAUGAUUUUGAGAAGUAGGUAUGAUUAGGUGUAUAAUAUGUUUGUUAAUUUGUGAUCUUGAUAGUAUGAAGUGUGUGUGAUUGUAAUAGUGUGAAAUUGAUGUUCAGUGUUGUUAAGAUUGUGUGUGAUAAAAUAGGUUUGAUGUUUAAAAACUGAACUCAAGUGGUUGGAGUGGGAGUUUGUUAAAUUAUUGAGUUUUAAGCCUAAAAAAGGGGGAUUUUCAUAUGUGAGUUUGAUAAUAUGGGGUUGAUGUGGGAAAAAUGUUAUUGAGGUGUUGUCAUGAGGUAAAUUAAAACUUAUUGGAGGUAUAAUGUGAUUGAAAUCUAAUCUAUAAUAAAAUGUUAGAGUGUAGUUGAAGUUUAGAGUGUUUGUGUAAAAUGGGGCUUUGAGUUGUAAGAUUUUGAGGUAAGGGGUUUAAUCUGUUUUGGAGAGUGUAAAAGCAUUUAACAUAGUUUUGGCCACUUCUUACAAAAAUUUAUUUUUCCUCUCAACAACUCCAUUUUCUUGUGGAGUUCUUGGAGUUGAUAAAUUAUAUUUGAUGCUAGAGUUUUUACAAAAAUUUCCGAAAAACUCAUUUUCAAAUUCUCCUCCAUGAUCAUUUCAGAUAGAUAUAAUUUUUAAAUCCUUUUCAAUCAAUAUCCUUCUAUAAAGUUUACUAAAAACAUUAAAAGUCUCGAUUAUAAUUCUAAUAUUAAUUUUUCUUGUACUAAAAUUAGUUUUGUAAAAUUGAAUUAGAUUUAAACUUCAUAUCUUAGAAUGGUAUUAGAGAAAUUCAAAAUAACAAACUUUUUUAUUUGUUAGAUCUAUAAUAUCACUUGCUAUCAAACCAUAACUAAGUCAUCUAUUAAUAUAUAGACUCAGCUUAAUAUAUAGUUUCUAUCUAGUCUCACACUUAAUAUUUAAUUUCAUUUAUAGUUUCUAGUUAGACUUAAAAGUUUACUCUUUUUUUUUUCUUUUUUACUAAAUAAAAGUGUAAUAUAAUUAACCAAAGGAAAUAUUGGAAAACGUACUGUUUAUAUAUUUAGUUUGAUGGAUUUUUGAAAAAAUAGAUACUUACAACAUUCACGUCUUAAAACAAAUAUAUUACAUAUAAUAGUUCGAUUAAUUGAAAUUUAAUAUUUUAUUAAUUGUGAAAAGAAUGACUCUAAUGUUUAUUUUUUAAACACGAAUUUGUUAUAACUCAUUCUUAUAAUAUCAAUUAUUGAUUUAAUUUUAUAAUAUUCUUAAAUCUAAAGAAAAAAAAAAGCAGUUUCAUUUUUUUUUUUUCAAAUCAAAAGAAUAAAUAAUUGUACAAUACAUUUGGUAUGGAAAUGUGAUUCUUCAUUUUUCUCACACAGAUGAAUCAUUGCGUUUUGAAUCAUUGAUGAUCUUCAGCUGUGGGUCCCACUCCCAUAAUAAUUAGCUCAUCAGAGAAAGCAGUCCACAUGGAACGCAACGCGUCCACGCGUCGCAUGGCUCACUCUCCGAAAGAUCUCAAACGUCAAUUUCUUAUCUCGCCCUAAAUCCUGCAAGGCGUAGACGUCGACCUCACAGUAACAGACGUGACUCUUACCACAAGAAUAUUCCUCCCAGUCUCUCUCCAGCAGCAUUGCUGACCCUUGGAUACAUCUGACGGUUGAAGAAAAUGUUCUCUCUUUGAAACUGGUAUAAAAGGCAGAAAUUAUUACAUACAAAUAUAUUAAGAAUAUAUUAUAAAAUAGUGUAUAUUAAAUUUUGUUUUACACGUUGAAAAACUGUGUUAAGGAUAUCUAAUAUAUUGAAAUACACUUUUCACAACAAUUAUACAACGAAAACAAGAAAAGUCAGAAUUUAAAAGAAUUAAUAAUAAACAACUAAUUAAAGUACCGAAAACACAUUUUUUAUGAUAAAAAAUAAUAAAAUUAUUGUUGUUUUAUUUAUAAAAAUAAAUUUAAAUAGUUUUUAGAGUUUUAUUUUAAGAAAAUUUAUUUAUUUUUAAAUAAUUUUUCAUUAUAAAUAAUUAUUUUGUUUAAUAUUGUGUUCGCUUGGAAUAGUUUCAUUAUUCAUAAUAAUUUGUGCAAGUGGAUUAGUGAAUUUAUAUGUGAUCGUUUUAAGGUAUCUUCAAACAAAAAUGAAGGAAAUGUUAACUAAUUCUAUCUCAGCUGAUAACAGAUAUUUGAGAAAAUUUACCUUCAAUUACCCAUUUUGUCCUUGUGUCUAUUUACUUCAAAAAUGCAUGCAUGAUCAACUCGAUUUCAAGAAAAAAAAAAGGAAUAAAUUCUAAUGGAGAAAUUCAUUUGAUUUUUUUUAUUAAUAAUAAUAAUACAGUAAAAUAAUAAAUAAUAAUAAUAAAAUUAGUACUAUCCAUGCAUGUUCUCUAUUCUUAUUAAUUAUUAUUAUUUUUCUCUUAUUUUAAAAUAUUUUUUAACAAUAAAUAUGUUUUUCAUAAACUUUAUUUUAUAUUACUAUUAUCAUAAGGUAAUUUGAUAAUCUUUAUUUUCUAUCCAUCAAAACAUUUUUUUAUUUAUCAUAUUGAUCAAAUCUUAUACAAACUUUUACAAAUUUUACUUUCAAAUCAACUCUCAAUCACUUUCAAAUUUUUCAAGAAAAAUAACACACAAUUUAUUCUCAAAUCCUCUUAAAUUCAUCCCCUCCCUCUCCUUUAAAUUCAUUCUUGAAGUAAACACGUCCUAAAAGAAUAGUUUGAUUUUAAAGAAAAAGUCAAAUUAAAAAUAACUAAAUUUAAAAAAUAUAUCAUUUAAAAAGAAAAAUGUUAACAAUUUGGAUCAUAUAUGUAUAUAUAUAACAAAUCAUUCAAUGUGUUAAAGUUAAAGGCAUAUAUAGGAUAAUAAGGUUUAUGAACUUAUCCUAUUACUAGAAAGUGUGAAACCUAUUAGAUGUAAGUGGAUAUUUAACAUCGAUAAGGAUUCUAAAGAUAAUAUGGAGAGAUAUAUACUCAAAAGAAAUGGAUUGAUUUUAAAGAGAUUUUUUCUCUAGUUUUAUCAAAUGACUCUUUUAGAAAAAUCAUGGCUUUGUUUCGCAUUAUGAUUUAAAGCUUAAACAAAUAGAUGUUAAGACGACGUUUUUCAAUAACAACAUUGACAAGAUGAUUUAGAUGGUAUAACUAGAAAACUGUGUUAAGAAAUCCAAAGAAUAUGGUUUACAAUUUGACAAAAUCCAUUUAUGGACUAAAAUAGACUUCUCGUCAAAGGUACCACAAAUUUCAUCAAGUGAUUGUCUCAUUUGGUUUGAAUAUGAAUGUUGUUGAUGAUUAAGGGUAUUACUGGGAGCAUAUAUAUCUUUUUCGUCUUACAUAUUGAUGACAUAUUGCAUAUACUCAAUAGACAAGAUCUUAUACAUAUGUUAUAGGUAUUCAAUGACAAUUUUAAACUCAAUCUAAUACAUUUGUAAGAAUUUAUAUAUAUAUAUAUAUAUAUAUAUAUAUAUAUAUAUAUAUAUAAAUAAAUAAUUAAAUAUGUUAGAAUUAUUAUAUUUUAUUAACGAAUUUCAUAAUGAUUUAAUUAAUUAAUUGUAACUAAGAACGUAACGUAUGAUUAUAUUGUAGAGACCAUAAAUAAUAUUUUAAUUUAUUAAAGAGUUAAAUUAAAAUAUCAAAACUUAAAAGAAGUAAUUGAGAAAUAUUACGUAAAAAUGUCAUGGUCUCAACUACAUGCUCAUCAUUCGUAUUUCUUCUCAUUCAUCCUCGUAAGAAAAGUGUUUUAUAGGAGAAAGCUAUAUCAAUCUACAUUAUUUAUUAAUUGUUUAGCAUGACCAGUUUAGUUACGUUUCUAUUUUCUAUUCUAAAAAGUAAUUACUUAUUUAUGGAAAAAUUUAUUACUCAUUAAUUAUUAAUCUGUUUUUACACACAUAAUUUAACAUAAAAUAAUAUUUUUAAUUUAAAAAGUUUAUAAAAAAAAUAAAAUUAAAAAUAAAAUAUUAACACGAGAGAGAGAGAUAAUUUUUUUAUGUAAUAGGAUAGAUAAACUAAUUGACAACCCUAACAUAUUUUUAAAAUAAAAUAAUGAAGUUAACUCUUUAUUGAGGGACCGAGUUUAAUUAUUUUCAGUCACAUUUAAUUGAAUUAGUUUCAAAUUUUGUUCUCAAAUUAAAAUAAAUCUAAUUCAAUAUCUUUUUCUUUUCAAUUUUUUUUUAAGAAUUGAACUUAGUUAAUUUUAGACAUUUGUUCUUCAGCACAAUUAUUAUAUGUUACACAUCUGCAAAACAAGAGGUACUACUUUCCUAUCAUAUCAAUUUUUUUUUUCUUUUCAGUAUAUGAAAAUAAUAAACUUUUAAUAUAUAAUAAUACUCACAAAAUAUAAUUAAUAGUAUCCGUAUAUAUGUAUUAUUACUGCUACCUUUUUCAGAUUCUUCAUUUCUUCCACUCAUCCAGCGAAGACAAUUGGAGAAAAGCGCGAUCCUCGUGAAUCCGUUUCGUUGCACUAUCCUCGGGUUUAAAUCGCCUGCAGCGCGCACACCCUAGUCUCCGUCGCCGGAAAAUGGCCUCCGACGGAGCUACCUCGGCGGCGGCGGCGGCGAGUAGGAGAAAGCCGUCGUGGAGGGAGAGAGAGAAUAACCGAAGGAGAGAACGGAGGAGAAGAGCGAUCGCGGCGAAAAUAUACUCUGGACUUCGAGCUCAGGGGAACUAUAACUUGCCGAAGCACUGUGACAACAACGAAGUUCUCAAAGCGCUUUGUGCCGAAGCUGGUUGGUGCGUCGAAGAAGACGGCACUACCUAUCGUAAGGUAAUAAAUUAAGUCAAAUCACACUUUCGAACCGUUACAGCGUCGCUGGAUCUUAUUUUUGAUUUUUCAUUUCGAUCAAACCGUGCGUUUAGCUUUCCGUUUAAGCUGUGCAUUGCGCUCAGGAACCAGAAGCGAGACGGUGUAGGCAUUGUUCUAGUUAACGUCAAACGAAGAUUUCUAACUUAAUUAUCGGAUUUUUUUUCUGAUCCUUGUUUCUAAUGCGUAAUUAGAUACGUAAAUUAUAGGUUAUGAUAAGUAGCAACUAAUCUCAGCCUGUUGAUGUACCGAAAACGGAAGUGAACUUUGAUAUUCGAGAUGUGUGUUAACUUGAUUGAUUUAUCUCGUAGGUCGAGUAAAUAAUCGCAAUUGUAAAUGGAAAAAAUGUACACUGUGUAAUUACGGAAAAUAUUAAUGGAGGAUUUCUUGUCAAUUACUGAGAUUUAUCAGAGUAUUACUCACUUUAGAGUCUAGAUUGUUAACGCGAUUAUCUGUGAUAUAUAUAAUACGAAUUGAUGAUUCUCUCAUCAACUACUGAGAUUAUUGUAGUUGCUUACUUUAGACUCUAAAUUGUUUGUGUUAAUGUGAUUAAAUUUUUUCGUCACUCACUGGACUCUAAAUUGUUUGUGUUAAGGUGAUUGAUUUGAAAUGGUAACGUAGUUUUGUGUGUUUUGGGUGAAUAGGGUUGCAAGCCACCUCUGGCCAAUGGUGCAGGGAAUUCAAUGAGAAACGUUCCCUUUUGCUCUUCUCAAAGCCCAAGUCCUUUUUCUUCGUCGUACCCCAGUCCAAUUCCUUCAUACCAAGUGAGUCCUUCUUCCUCCUCUUUCCCAAGCCCAUUUCGGUUAGAUGUGGAUAAGGAUAAUGUAUCAAACCUCAUUCCAUACAUUCGCAAUGCGUCCCUGUCUCUUCCUCCUCUGAGGAUAUCAAACAGUGCCCCUGUGACGCCGCCUCUGUCAUCACCUACGUCAAGAAAUCCAAAACCAAUUCCCACAUGGGAGUCUAUUGCCAAAGAAUCUAUGACCUCCUUCAACUACCCUCUCUUUGCAGCUUCUGCUCCUGCCAGCCCCACUCACCGUCAUCUUUACACCCCCGCCACUAUUCCAGAAUGUGAUGAGUCUGAUACUUCCACCUGUGAGUCUAACCAGUGGAUGAAAUUCCAAUCGUUUGGUC